rnacentral:lncRNA from 12 species
UCUGAAAUGCUGAGACCAUUGGUGAGCUGUAGGAGGCCUUCAGCAACCACCAGCUGUACCCCAGAAGGAAAAGGUAGAAUUUGGAUGAGCAAGCUGGGAGAAGGGGAAAGGAGAAGGCAUGAGAAAUCCCUUGAGUCGUUUGAAGGAAAGAUUGGUCCCACUCCACUGAAACUCUUGCUCUACAGAUGUCCCCUAGGAGACCUUUAGUGAACAUCAGACAAAGAAUGACAGUAGAAUUUUCAUUGCAGUCUGUCAGACAAACGUUCUUUCUGGAGCUGUUCUGGAAGGACAUUUCACCCGGACCAAGAAAAUCAGGUGAGAAAGAAUAAAAAAAUAGCUUUCUG